UGAGGAAUAUUGGUCAAUGGCCGGGAGGCUGAACCAGCCAAGCCGCGUGAAGGAAGACGGCCCUACGGGUUGUAAACUUCUUUGUCGGGGAACAAAAGGGAGGACGUGUCCUCCUCUGCGGGUACCCGAAGAAAAAGCAUCGGCUAACUCCGUGCCAGCAGCCGCGGUAAUACGGAGGAUGCGAGCGUUAUCCGGAUUUAUUGGGUUUAAAGGGUGCGUAGGCGGUCUGUUAAGUCAGCGGUAAAAGACCGGGGCUCAACCCCGGCAAGCCGUUGAAACUGGCGGACUAGAGACGGAGAGAAGUAAGCGGAAUGCGCAGUGUAGCGGUGAAAUGCAUAGAUAUCACGCAGAACUCCGAUUGCGAAGGCAGCGUACCGGCGCCCAACUGACGCUGAAGCACGAAGGCGUGGGUAUCGAACAGGAUUAGAUACC
rnacentral:rRNA from 1 species